UAUAGGCCGACUGGAUGCCGAUCGCGUCGUGCAGGUGCGAGUUGUGGGUAUUGUCGGAGAAGCAGUCGUGCUCCUCUUCCGGAUCGUGGAGGAGCAGGCCGAGCUUC
rnacentral:sRNA from 1 species